CAAGCCCAUUAUCAUUAUUUACCUCUACUACAUAGAAAAUUUUGAAAAAGCUAAACCAAACACUUUACGAACUGAAUUGAAUAUUUGAACGCAGUGUCUGUGUACAAUACAUAUACGAAAAUUGGAAAUUUAAUGGGUCCUGGAAGGUUCCGACUCAGCUGAACGUUUGCCAUUCAUCGAUGCGAUUUUCCUCGACGUUCUGUCGCAAGCAUUCAUAUUCAAAUGAAGGAGAAAGGAAUUCAAACAUAAAAAUGAACACAUCGAAUUUGUAUUUCCGCAGACACACACAACCAAAGAAUUUAAUCAUAUGGCAUGGCAGCCAUGGCAGUGCAUGUGUUACACAAUUUCCAACGUAAAAUUUAUGUUUGAUUCUACCCAUACAAGCAUCGUUUUUAUUACACAGGGGCGUCAUAAAGUAAAUGGAAUUAAAUAGCAAAAUCGAUAUAUAAGGUACCUAGCGAUGCUUAUGCGCUUAAAUUAAAUUUAAAGGUUUUUUUCUGAAUAAAAACACGUUUUAAUGA